rnacentral:lncRNA from 1 species
GAACACAUGACUGCUUAGUCUGUGAGGAAUGGAGGAACGCAGGAACUUAGCAAGGGAGGCAAGUGGUUAUACAGGGGGAAAAGCAGCCAUCUGAGAUAAUUUAUUGAGUAUACUUAUGUGCCAGGCUCUGGACCAGAGACUCUGGGUGAUACAACCCUGAAAGGCAGCAGAAAACAUGCUUGCUCUUCUUACUCAAGCAAGAGAGGGCCAGCCUCCUAGAAAAUGUUUACAAGCUUCAAAGAAGACGUGCUUGCAUGGGACAGCACGAGAAACAUCCCCAGGUUUUCUAUCUGGGGAGGGACAUGGCAGAAGCAGUAUUUUGGGAAGAUAUUUCUGGCAGCAGUAUGUACAGUCUAGACUGAAGAGGAGAAGGUGAAGCCAGGGAAGACUAACAACGAGUCCAGAGAUGGAGAGGAACAAACCUGACUGGGGUGGUGGCACAAAGGAGAGCAUGUCCUGUUCAUCCUUCCCUCCACAAAGCAGCUGGACAAGACCCAACCAGUGAUGGGAUCUCUGUAGCAUCAUUUUCCAAAGGAAGCUGGCACAUGACAAGUGCUGCCUCCAUUUCAAAAUCCAUUCAUGUACCGACAUUCGCCUACCCUCUCGGCCUUGAUCCCACUCUCCUGAGGUGCCUGAGGGAUCUUGCCACUGUGCGCAUGGCACUAAGGAACUCUGCCUGCCAGUCCCAGAACUGCUCUUGUCUCACUCUGUUACC